rnacentral:rRNA from 1 species
AAGUCGAACGAUGAAGCCCAGCUUGCUGGGUGGAUCAGUGGCGAACGGGUGAGUAACACGUGAGUAACCUGCCCUUAACUCUGGGAUAAGCCUGGGAAACUGGGUCUAAUACCGGAUAGGAGCGUCCACCGCAUGGUGGGUGUUGGAAAGAUUUAUCGGUUUUGGAUGGACUCGCGGCCUAUCAGCUUGUUGGUGAGGUAAUGGCUCACCAAGGCGACGACGGGUAGCCGGCCUGAGAGGGUGACCGGCCACACUGGGACUGAGACACGGCCCAGACUCCUACGGGAGGCAGCAGUGGGGAAUAUUGCACAAUGGGCGAAAGCCUGAUGCAGCGACGCCGCGUGAGGGAUGACGGCCUUCGGGUUGUAAACCUCUUUCAGUAGGGAAGAAGCGAAAGUGACGGUACCUGCAGAAGAAGCACCGGCUAACUACGUGCCAGCAGCCGCGGUAAUACGUAGGGUGCGAGCGUUAUCCGGAAUUAUUGGGCGUAAAGAGCUCGUAGGCGGUUUGUCGCGUCUGUCGUGAAAGUCCGGGGCUUAACCCCGGAUCUGCGGUGGGUACGGGCAUACUAAAGUGCAGUAGGGGAGACUGGAAUUCCUGGUGUAACGGUGGAAUGCGCGGAUAUCCCGAGGAACACCGAUGGCGAAGGCACGUCUCUGGGCUGUAACUGACGCUGAGGAGCGAAAGCAUGGGGAGCGAACAGGAUUAGAUACCCUGGUAGUCCAUGCCGUACACCUUGGGCACUAGGUGUGGGGACCGUUCGACGGUUUCCUCGCCGCACCUAACGCAUUUUGUGCCCCGCCUGGUGAGUACGGCCAAAAAGCUAAAACUCCCGGGAGUUGACCGCG